AGUGAACGCUGGCGGCAGGCCUAAUACAUGCAAGUCGAACGGCAGCACAGCAGAGCUUGCUCUGUGGGUGGCGAGUGGCGGACGGGUGAGGAAUACAUGGGAAUCUGCCCAGUCGUGGGGGAUAACGUAGGGAAACUUACGCUAAUACCGCAUGCGCCCUUCGGGGGAAAGCCGGGGACCUUCGGGCCUGGCGCGAUUGGAUGAGCCCAUGUCGGAUUAGCUAGUGGGCGGGGUAAAGGCCCACCAAGGCGACGAUCCGUAGCUGGUCUGAGAGGAUGGUCAGCCGCACUGGAACUGGGACACGGUCCAGACUCCUACGGGAGGCAGCAGUAGGGAAUAUUGGACAAUGGGCGCAAGCCUGAUCCAGCCAUGCCGCGUGAGUGAAGAAGGCCCUCGGGUUGUAAAGCUCUUUUGUCCGGAAAGAAAAGCGCCGGGUUAAUACCCUGGUGUCCUGACGGUACCGGAAGAAUAAGCACCGGCUAACUUCGUGCCAGCAGCCGCCGUAA
rnacentral:rRNA from 1 species